rnacentral:rRNA from 1 species
AUCAACUUUCGAUGGUAGGAUAGAGGCCUACCAUGGUGGUAACGGGUAACGGGGUGUUAGGGCACGACACCGGAGAGGGAGCCUGAGAAACGGCUACCACAUCCAAGGAUGGCAGCAGGCGCGCAAAUUACCCAAUCCCGACACGGGGAGGUAGUGACAAUAAAUAACAAUACGGGGUUCUUUCGGAUUUCGUAAUUGGAAUGAGUACAAUUUAAAUCUCUUAACGAGGAACAAUUGGAGGGCAAGUCUGGUGCCAGCAGCCGCGGUAAUUCCAGCUCCAAUAGCGUAUAUUAAAGUUGCUGCAGUUAAAAAGCUCGUAGUUGAAUUUCGGGACCAAUAUGUCGGUCGUGCCUCGGUACGUACUGGCAUCGUUGGUUUCUCCCUUCUGACGAACCAUGAUGUCAUUUAUUUGGUGUCGUGGGGAAUCAGGACUGUUACUUUGAAAAAAUUAGAGUGUUUAAAGCAGGCUCACGCUUGAAUACAUUAGCAUGGAAUAAUGAAAUAGGACGUUUGAUUCUAUUUUGUUGGUUUCUAGGAUCGACGUAAUGAUUAAUAGGGAUAGUUGGGGGCAUUGGUAUUCAAUUGUCAGAGGUGAAAUUCUUGGAUUUAUUGAAGACUAACUACUGCGAAAGCAUUUGCCAAGGAUGUUUUCAUUAAUCAAGAACGAAAGUCAGGGGAUCGAAGACGAUCAGAUACCGUCGUAGUCUUAACCAUAAACUAUGCCGACUAGGGAUCGGAUGAUGUUAAUUUUUUAAUGACUCAUUCGGCGUCUUACGGGAAACCAAAGUGUUUGGGUUC